rnacentral:rRNA from 1 species
UAGGGAAUAUUGGUCAAUGGGCGAGAGCCUGAACCAGCCAUGCCGCGUGCAGGAUGACGGCCUUCUGGGUUGUAAACUGCUUUUCUACAGGAAGAAAAUGCCGGUACUGUAGGAAUAAGCACCGGCUAACUCCGUGCCAGCAGCCGCGGUAAUACGGAGGGUGCAAGCGUUGUCCGGAUUUAUUGGGUUUAAAGGGUGCGUAGGCGGGUCUUUAAGUCCGUGGUGAAAGCCCAUCGCUCAACGAUGGAACUGCCAUGGAUACUGGAGGCCUUGAAUUCAGUUGAGGUAGGCGGAAUUGAUGGUGUAGCGGUGAAAUGCAUAGAUACCAUCAGGAACACCGAUUGCGAAGGCAGCUUACUGGGCUUGAAUUGACGCUGAGGCACGAAAGCGUGGGGAGCGAACAGGAUUAGAUACCCUGGUAGUCCACGCCGUAAACGAUGAUAACUCGCUGUUGGCGAUACACAGUCAGCGGCCAAGCGAAAGCGUUAAGUAUCCACCUGGGAGACGUCACUUU